rnacentral:tRNA from 1 species
GUUUCUGUAGUUAAAUUUUUAUAACGGCGGCUUUUCGUGCCGCAGAUUUCGGAGAGAGGCCGAGCAGGAAUU